rnacentral:rRNA from 1 species
UACAGAGACUGCAAGCGUUGUUCGGAUUCACUGGGCGUAAAGGGUGCGCAGGCGGCCAGAUGUGUCGGGUGUGAAAGCUCGGGGCCCAACCUCGAAACUGCGCCCGAAACUAUUUGGCUAGAGUACUGGAGAGGAAAGCGGAAUUCACGGUGUAGCAGUGAAAUGCGUAGAUAUCGUGAGGAACACCAGUGGCGAAGGCAGCUUUCUGGACAGUUACUGACGCUGAGGCACGAAAGCCAGGGGAGCAAACGGG